rnacentral:rRNA from 1 species
UACGUAGGGGCAAGCGUUAUCCGGAUUUACUGGGUGUAAAGGGAGCGCAGACGGAACUGCAAGUCUGAUGUGAAAGCCCGGGGCUCAACCGCGGGACUGCAUCGGAUACUGUGGAUCUGGAGUGCCGGAGGGGCAAGCGGAAUUCCUGGUGUAGCGGUGAAAUGCGUAGAUAUCAGGAGGAACACCGGCGGCGAAGGCGGCUUGCUGGACGGCAACUGACGUUGAGGCUCGAAAGCGUGGGGAGCAAACAGGAUUAGAUACCCU